UACAGAGGGGGCAAGCGUUGUUCGGAAUUACUGGGCGUAAAGGGCUCGUAGGUGGCCAACUAAGUCAGACGUGAAAUCCCUCGGCUUAACCGGGGAACUGCGUCUGAUACUGGAUGGCUUGAGUUUGGGAGAGGGACGCGGAAUUCCAGGUGUAGCGGUGAAAUGCGUAGAUAUCUGGAGGAACACCGGUGGCGAAGGCGGCGGUCUGGGCCGGAACUGACGCUGAGGAGCGAAAGCGUGGGGAGCGAACAGG
rnacentral:rRNA from 1 species